GAAUGUAUAGCUCAAGUGGUAGAGCACGUGCUUAGCAUACACAGGGUCCUGGGUUCAAUCCCCAGUAACUCCU
rnacentral:tRNA from 1 species